rnacentral:rRNA from 1 species
CAGCAGUGGGGAAUCUUGCGCAAUGGGUGGAAGCCUGACGCAGCGACGCCGCGUGUGUGACGAAGGCCUUCGGGUCGUAAAGCACUGUCAGCCGGGAAGAAGACAUGCGUGUCAACCACGCGUGUGUUGACGGUACCGGCGAAGGAAGCACCGGCCAACUCCGUGCCAGCAGCCGCGGUAAGACGGAGGGUGCAAGCGUUGUUCGGAAUCAUUGGGCGUAAAGGGCGCGCAGGCGGCCUCCCAAGUCCGAUGUGAAAGCCCGGGGCUCAACUCCGGAAGCGCAUUGGAAACUGGGUGGCUUGAGUCCGAGAGGGGACCGUGGAAUUCCUGGUGUAGGGGUGAAAUCCGUAGAGAUCAGGAGGAACACCGGAGGUGAAAACGACGGUCUGGAUCGGGACUGACGCUGAGGCGCGAAAGCGCGGGUAGCGAACAGGAUUAGA